ACGGUUACGAGUCAGCGAGCCGGCGAGCCUAGCGAAGCGAGUCGAGCACGAGCCGGGAGUAAACGAGACGUGAGGCUCAUCCAGCUCGUCAUCUGACUCCGUCCGCAAUCUUCGCCGCCGCCGCCGCCCAAAAUUUAUCUCGUUCCCCGUCAGGCCAUCCCGCACGCACGCACACACGACGGCCUCCGCUGCCCCUUCCCGGCUUCCCCGGCCCGUCCCCCGUCGCUGUAGCCCAGCGACGGCCUUGCAGCGACCCAGCGGCGGCCCUUCCGCUCUCACGACAGUAGCACCCUCCCGAAUCGGCGACACCGUAUGGAGCAGCCGGCGACCUCCGCUCACCGUCCGCCAUGGCUUCCACGCUCCAUCCCCUCGCGUGUAACAAGACUGCACCCAUGGAUCUCCAUGUGUGGAGGUGGGUCCCAUCGGUGGGGGCCACGGCUGUCCGGCGGCGGCCUGGCGUCGACUCUCGGCGGCGGCCCUUUCCCUCUUGCGACGGCGUCGAUCCAGAGGAGGGUACUCCCUGCCUUCAAUCGCAACUAGGAACCCCCCAAAUCCUCCCGCAGAUGCGACCUCAUUCCAACCUGAACUCCAAUCUCGAAUCCGUUCCCCUGCGUUGGUUGUCGACAUCCCUCCGCAGCGGCCGUCAUUCUUGGUGUACGGUGGGCCGUCACUCCCCAUGCCCGUAGAGGAGACAAGAUCCUGAGGUGAGCAGCGCCGCGCAUAGCUGCAUCCAGCCAUCAAUCUUAAGCCCACCAUGUUUGUGAUAAUGAAGCAGCAUCGCACCUGUGCCAUCCGUACUUGUAUUGCUGCCGGUGUUAUUGCAGGAGUUCUUCGGUUUUGGGUGACCAGUCCAUCCUAAUCCAAGCCAGCGUAGAGACCCUGAGGUGAUGAUGCCUCGUCGGAAUCUCUGGGUAGCAUCUGGGCACUUACUUUAGAGAGCAGCCUACUCAGCACUGAUUGAUAGAUAGCGCUUCAGCUCCCUUGUGCCUUCUCCCCACCGUCCUGGUGCCUAACUGCAUGAUCAGAUUCAGUUGGAGCUAGGGAAAGCAAGCAACAUAUAAUCGAGUUCAAGAAUGUGGAAGCAAGCACUUUGUAUCAUAUUCAGCAACGUGGAAUAGUGUCAUGUUAUAUUACAAGUAUUGAAUCUGUAUUGUCAUUUGUAGUUGAUCCGAUUUGAAAAAAAAGUGAUUGUUUCAAUCUGUAUUGUGGUAACUCACCAUUAUAUUAUAGUAACAUACAAUCGAGUUGUAGUCAAAAACGUCACAGCGUAGUCUACAUAUGGAUUAUAGUGAAUAGUCUA